rnacentral:rRNA from 1 species
GAUGAACGCUGGCGGCGUGCCUAAUACAUGCAAGUCGAGCGAACAGAUAAGGAGCUUGCUCCUUUGACGUUAGCGGCGGACGGGUGAGUAACACGUGAGUAACCUACCUAUAAGACUGGGAUAACUUCGGGAAACCGGAGCUAAUACCGGAUAAUAUUUCGAACCGCAUGGUUCGAUAGUGAAAGAUGGUUUUGCUAUCACUUAUAGAUGGACCCGCGCCGUAUUAGCUAGUUGGUAAGGUAACGGCUUACCAAGGCGACGAUACGUAGCCGACCUGAGAGGGUGAUCGGCCACACUGGAACUGAGACACGGUCCAGACCCCUACGGGAGGCAGCAGUAGGGAAUCUUCCGCAAUGGGCGAAAGCCUGACGGAGCAACGCCGCGUGAGUGAUGAAGGUCUUCGGAUCGUAAAACUCUGUUAUUAGGGAAGAACAUACGUGUAAGUAACUGUGCACGUCUUGACGGUACCUAAUCAGAAAGCCACGGCUAACUACGUG